AAAGGCGAAUAAACAUCAAAGACCGGGUGGUGGCAGUGGUGGAGGAGGGUGUCUCCUUGAGGAAGGCUUGCACAGAUAAUGUGACCAUCUGCCAGAGAUCAGAAGUAGCCAGCCCCAGAAACCAGUGGAGGGGCAACUCCCAAGCUUGUGGAUGGCAAUGACAAGGGUGACCCUGGCCCGAGGACAGCCAUGGACCCUGGCUGUCUCCUGCAGCCCUUGAAGGAAUCUGCUGCUCACUUGGAUGAUGUCAUCAAUGUUCGAGAACAGGACUUCCAGAUCUCCAGGUGGCAGCUGGAAGCAACGAAAUUGCUGUGGGCAAAGACUGGGUGGGGAACAGUCCUGAGCACUUGCGUCACCUGAGGUCCUACUGCUCUUGGGAAGACUGACUGCCCAGUGCAAGGUUUGGAAAGAUUUGGGACUCUUGUAAGUUAGGCCUCCUCAUUAGUCUACAAUAAAAGGAGACAUCACGUCCAGCUCAGAAGGGAAGCUGAGGGUGCCGGUAAUAGAGUGGGCGAGGGGGGUGCAGGUAGGCAGAGGUCAGUGUUGUGAUUUGAAUAUGGAAUAUUCCGGGCUGAUGAGUUUAAACACUUCUUCCCCUGCUGGAGGCAUUAUUUGAAAAGGCUAUAUUACCUUUAGGAGGUUUACCUUACUGGAAGAAAGGUUAUUGGAGGUGGACUUGAAGGUUUUAUGGCCUGGUUUCUGCUCCUUUUUGCCUAUCCAAUAGCUCAUUUAAUUCUGCACUGUCUGUUCUUGAAGAGGAUGCAGGUUCCUAGCGCCCACAUGGUGGCUCCCAACUGUCUGUAACUCUGGCUUCUGGGGAUCCCACAUCCUUUCUGGCUUCCUCAGGUACCAGGCACACACAGGGAAUACAUGAACAUAGCAAACACUCAUACACAUAAAAAUAAAUCCUAAAAAAAAAAAUCCUACAAAAUUGAAUUACAAAAGAAUACAAUGAUUUUUUAUACCGUU